rnacentral:rRNA from 1 species
GACGUAGGGCGCGAGCGUUUGUCCGGAUUUAUUGGGCGUAAAGAGCUCGUAGGCGGUUCGGUAAGUCGGGUGUGAAAACUUUGGGCUCAACCCAAAGCCUGCACUCGAUACUGCUGUGACUUGAGUCCGGUAGGGGAGUGGGGAAUUCCUGGUGUAGCGGUGGAAUGCGCAGAUAUCAGGAGGAACACCGGUGGCGAAGGCGCCACUCUGGGCCGGUACUGACGCUGAGGAGCGAAAGCGUGGGGAGCGAACAGG